GUUUGAUUAUGGCUCAGAUUGAACGCUGGCGGCAGGCCUAACACAUGCAAGUCGAGCGGUAGAGAGAAGCUUGCUUCUCUUGAGAGCGGCGGACGGGUGAGUAAUGCCUAGGAAUCUGCCUGGUAGUGGGGGAUAACGUUCGGAAACGGACGCUAAUACCGCAUACGUCCUACGGGAGAAAGCAGGGGACCUUCGGGCCUUGCGCUAUCAGAUGAGCCUAGGUCGGAUUAGCUAGUUGGUGAGGUAAUGGCUCACCAAGGCGACGAUCCGUA
rnacentral:rRNA from 1 species